rnacentral:rRNA from 1 species
GAUGAACGCUGGCGGCGUGCCUAAUACAUGCAAGUCGAACGAACAAACGAUGAGCUUGCUGCUCUGACGUUAGCGGCGGACGUGUGAGUAACACGUGUAUAAUCCACUUAUAUGACUGGGAUAACUUCGGGAAUCCGGCGCUAAUACGGUAUAAUAUAUUGAACCGCAUGGUUCGAUGGUAAAAGACGGUUUUGCUGGCACGUCUAGAUGGUUCCGAGCCGCAUUAGCUAGUUGGUAAGGUAACGGCUUACCAAGGCGACGAUGCGUAGCCGACCUGAGAGGGUGAUCGGCCACACUGGAGCUGAGCCGCGGUCCAGGCUCCUACGGGACGCAGCAGUAGGGAAUCUUACGCAAUGGGCGAGAGCCUGACGGAGCAACGGCGCGUGAGUGAUGGAGGUCUUCGGAUCGUAAUACUCUGUUAUUAGGGAAGAACAGAUGUGUAAGUAACUAUGCACGUCUUGACGGUACCUAAUCAGAAAGCCCCGGCUAACUACGUG